GACGAACGCUGGCGGCGUGCUUAACACAUGCAAGUCGAACGGAAAGGCCCUGCUUUUGUGGGGUGCUCGAGUGGCGAACGGGUGAGUAACACGUGAGUAACCUGCCCUUGACUUUGGGAUAACUUCAGGAAACUGGGGCUAAUACCGGAUAGGAGCUCCUGCUGCAUGGUGGGGGUUGGAAAGUUUCGGCGGUUGGGGAUGGACUCGCGGCUUAUCAGCUUGUUGGUGGGGUAGUGGCUUACCAAGGCUUUGACGGGUAGCCGGCCUGGGAGGGUGACCGGCCAAAUGGGGCUGGAGAGACGGCCCAGCCUCCUCGGGGGGGCAGCAGGGGGGAAUUUUGCAAAAGGGGCGGAAGCCUGCUGCAGCAACGCCGCGUGCGGGAUGACGCCCUUCGGGUUGUAACCCGCUUUCGCCUGGGACGAAGCGGGGGUGCCGGUAAUGGGUAAAGAAGCACCGCCUACCUCCGU
rnacentral:rRNA from 1 species